GGAGCCGGUGAAGUGACUUUAUCCUCGGAGAUCCGAUUGACUUCUGCAUUCCCUUGGAAAGAGGAGCUGGAUAAACUGGGAUUUGAAAAGGCUGCACAGGCACUGGGAGAACGGAAGGGAAGAGACAUGAAGGGUUCCUUGGACACCAGCAGCUUCUGAGGGAGAAGACUGAGGGAGGAGGCUGCUGAGCCUGGCCUGGCACUGUGGAGGAUCUGGAGAGCCCCAGCCCCGCUGGACCUGAGCCCCCAAAGAGCCCCAUGGACUCUCCCCACCUCCUGCCCUUGGGUUUGCUGCUGCUGGCUCUUGCUGCUCCCCAUGCCAAUAUUGCCAUGUCCACUGUUGGCACUGCUGAAAGGAUAGAAGACUUUUCUACAGAAGUGACAGAAUGCUGCUGCA